rnacentral:tRNA from 1 species
GGGCGGUUAGCUCAGCGGUAGAGCACCUGCCUUACAAGCAGGAGGCCGGCAGUUCGAUCCUGUCACCGCCCA